UACGUAGGGACCGAGCGUUGUCCGGAUUCAUUGGGCGUAAAGAGCUCGUAGGCGGUCACUCAAGUUGAAUGUGAAACCUCGAGGCUUAACCUCGAGCCUGCAUUCGAUACUGGGCGGCUAGAGUCUGGUAGGGGGAUCUGGAAUUCCUGGUGUAGCGGUGGAAUGCGCAGAUAUCAGGAGGAACACCGGUGGCGAAGGCGGAUCUCUGGGCCUUACCUGACGCUCAGGCGCGAAAGCUAGGGGAGCGAACUGG
rnacentral:rRNA from 1 species